AUCUAGCUGACAAGUUCCAAAUAGAACGAAACUCACGUCCUGGAU
rnacentral:hammerhead_ribozyme from 1 species